rnacentral:rRNA from 1 species
GAUGAACGCUGGCGGCGUGCCUAACACAUGCAAGUCGAGCGAUUGAGCCCAGCUUGCUGGGUGGAUUAGUGGCGAACGGGUGAGUAACACGUGAGUAACCUGCCCUUUAGUCUGGGAUAGGCCUGCGAAACUGGGUCUAAUACUGGAUAUGACUUUUCUUCGCCUGGAUGGGGGUGGUGAGGUAUAUUGGUCUUGGAUGGUCUCGCGGCCUCUCAGAUUGUUGUUGAGGUAAUGUCUUACCACCGCGACGACGGGUAGCCGGCCUGAGAGGGGGACGGGCCAGACUGCGACGGAGAUGAGGCACGGACUCGAACGGGAGGCAGGGGAGGGGAAGAUAACAUAAUGGGCUCAAGCCUGAUGCAGUGACGCCGCGUGGGGGAAGACGGCCUGCGGGUUGUAAUCCACUGCCAGGAGGGAAGAAGCGAGAGUGACGGUACCUGCAGAAGAAGCGACGGCUAACUACGUG